AGCAUUGUUUGUGCUCGCUGGUCGGGCGAGAAGCUGUGUCACACGCACAUGUGGGGCUAAUGUAUGCGUGCCAUGGUGUCAAAUGUGGAAAGCGCAGUAUUCAUUGUGUGUGUUCACAUGGUGUGCAUAAGGUGUUGCUAACUGUGUGUGUUUGCAUGGUGUGCAUUAGGUGUUGCUAACUGUGUGUGUUUGCAUGGUGUGCAUAAGGUGUUGCUAACUGUGUGUGUUUGCACAGUGUGCAUAAGGUGUUGCUAACUGUGUGUGUUUGCACGGUGUGCAUAAGGUGUUGCUAACUGUGUGUGUUUGCACAGUGUGCAUAAGGUGUUGCUAACUGUGUGUGUUUGCACAGUGUGCAUAAGGUGUUGCUAACUGUGUGUGUUUGCACAGUGUGCAUUAGGUGUUACUAACUGUGUGUGUUUGCAUGGUGUACAUAAG